GUUCCAACUUCCACUGAGCCACGGAUCAGAUAAGGAAAGACGUCAUUGGAAAGCUGAGCGGCGGCGAUACUUCCGGCCACCCCGGGACAAGGAUAAUGGAGGAUGUGGGUAUGGAGUUUCUUCUCGACGCCGUCGACAGGUCCGUUCUUGUAGAUCUGGGUAUUUUGUGUGAUUUGUUUCGCAUUCGGCCAAAACCAUUACGAGGUUCCCCUGAUGUUGCUUCCCACGGGAGAAACGAACCGUAGCGACCCCGAAGACUCAAAUGAUGGGUCUGGCUGCGGUUAGCAGCUCAGGGAAGACGGACCUGAGAAAGCACGAGAGAGUCUGCCGGCGUCGGAAAUCAUCACCGACUAGGUCGGCGCAGUCCACGUACAGAGUCAACCCCCCAGGCCCCAGGAUGGAUGAAAAGCUGAGGUAGUGGAUGUGGCCGAAGAAAUUGAACCACCGCGGUCUCCGUGGGCGGAUUUGACUGAACCUGCUGAUGGUUGGGAGCCGGAGCUAUCUAGCCUGCUUGGUUGCCCUGGUGCACAUGGUGCCCGCCGACUUGCUGCUGAGCACGGGCUAUCUGGUGAGGGCUCAUCCUCCUCAGGUAUGAGCGCUGAAAGUCGAAGAAGCGACACAGCCGAGCCUGCGGAAAAUUGCAGACCUAUAGACCGAAACUCAAUAUCACGCCUGAAGCCUUUCAGUAUGGUUCAGUUUGAGAAUUUUCUAGUGCGCGUUGCCCGCUUGUUCAUCUAGGUUGUACAAUGGCUUUGUGUUCAUCAGUUGUUGCGUUCAUGAGUUAUGUUUGUGAACAGUUAGCUGUGUUUUCGCAUGUAGUUGACUAGUUGAGGACUGCCUAGUCUGUGAUAUCUGUCAAGUCUGUGUGUUCCUGAUUGUAAAUACUCCUCCUAGCUGUGUCCUGGGUCACUCAAUGAUGAGAGUUUUCGCUGUA